AAGCAUGCAUUAGCAUAACAUCCAGCAAGCACAUGGAUAAGAACCCUAUGAAGUGGAGGAAGCAGCAUAGAGUGAGACUGAUCCCGGCAACAAUUACAAGGAUGGAGGAUCUGCCAUGACACCAACCUCUUGUCUCCUCAUGGAGUUUACUAAGAACAAAAUGGAUAAAUAAAGCAUUUCCCAUUUCAAAAUAGAAGAAAAUCUGCAAACGAAGAACAAGGCAACUACAACAAGAAGCUACAUGGACUACAGGACUCAAUAAACUAAUACUAAAAUAUGGCUAAAAAAAUAUCCUUGUGUGAAAGCAGCCAUAGCUGUUGGACAGCUCAGUUAUCCAAUGAAGCAGACCUGACGGAUCUAAUCGUGUAAGCCAAGACCUGCAGGGAAGUGAAAGGCAGAACGUAUUGGAUGUGAGGACAGGAGCUGACAACAUCAUUUUACUGCUGAGGUCUUUCAGAGGUCGACAAACAGACUGAUCACAGUAUUCAUUCUAUUUCGUUUUACUCAUUAGAAAAUAUGAUGAGAGAAUAAAGGCAGCCUCUGAAUAGGCGGGAUGGAUGGACAGCCUCAUAGAACGCUGACACAAGACCACAUCGGCGCAUCUGCGGAAAAACCAGAGACGUCUUCUUUGUUAUCACGCCGCCGCAUCCUACCCUUACUUCUAUUAUCCGUCUAAUGACGUGUUAACUACAUCUAAUGACAACAAUAUGGACACACUUGGAGAUUUCAAUAUCCUCAAUCCCCAGCCCAAAAUCAGGAAUAAAAUGUUAUUAUGCCAUUGA